CGCACCCGUCAAGAGCCGCUGCCGCUCCGAGUGGGACUCGCGGCCGGGGGGAAUCUCAUCGGGAUCGCCGGCAAGGCCUUGGGAUCCUCUGGGAUCCGCCGGUACCCCCAUGAGCCGCGGUGUCGCCCGCAGGUCCCGGACCCCCCGCUCCGAGCAGAGGAAAUGAUUCCACCCAACACCAGCAGUGGGAGGAGAAACUGAGGCAGUACCAGGAGGCCAUGGACACCUUCCUAGGGGGGGCGCCACCCACCCAUGUGCUGUCCCUGACCAGCACCAUCCUGGUGGCCAGUCUGUCAGGAUUGUCAGGUGGACACUUGCUGGAACCUGUGCACACUGGGAGCACUGGGAGAGGACUAGUGUAUAUUGUCAGCACUCUGAUCACAUGGUGUCCACGCGUCUCCCUAGACGAUCACUGCCUAAUGCACGAGGUGACCACCAACCAAUCUCUGGCCAUCUGACCUGCAGUUAUGGAACCCAAUGGAACCAGGACUCUAAUGUGACUCAGAGAAGCUUCACUGAACCAAAAAUACCAUAGUGAGGGUAUGGAACCUCAUGGAAUCAAUGCUCCAGUGUGACACAGUGGGGCCUCACAGAGCUCAGGGGACUCUAGUGAGGUAACGGAACCUCAUGAAAACAAGGCUCUGAUGUGAUCUUGCUGGGCGUCAUGGAACUCAGAUGACGAUUGUCAGUUGAUGGAACUCAUGGAACUCGUGAAAAAGGUGUGCAUGAUGGAACCCAAUUAGGCUCCAUAAGCUAGUGAGCUUAUGGAACCUAAUUGAGCCGCAUCUCCAGUGUAUCACAGCAGGACCUCAUGGGACACAGGAGAACAUUGUGAGGUUAUUGAAUACAAUGAAAGCAGGGCUCUAACGGAACAUAGCCGAGCCUCAUGGAACGCAAGAGACCCUCAUGGAACCAAGGCUGCAGUGUGUCAAGAAGAAACUCAUGGAACCCAGGAGAGCUUUGUGAGGCUAUGGAACAAUAUGGCACCAAGGUUCUACUAUGACUUGACAGAACCUCAUGGAAGAAAGGAGCCAUUGUGAGCCUCCAGAAUCAGCAUCUGCAGGUGGAUUUUUUGCUCCCUCCUGGGAUGUUGGUGGACAAUAAAGGCUGAGGCAGCCUCCCAAGUGUCCGCCUGUGUCAUUGGUGUGGGGGAGAUUUGGGGAGACCUCCCGUCAAGCCUGGCCCUGCUGCUCCUCCUAGUUGGGUGUGAAGCUGCUGGGACACGGGGGUGGGGGGGUCCUGAUGUUCCUCCCCCUCACCCCCUACAACUUUGAAGCCAUCCUGGAGGUGAUGUUGGGCCAACUUGGGGAAGGGAAUGGGAAAAUUUGGCGGCAUUUUGGGGUGUCCCGGUGUCCCCUCCCCUCCACAUCUCACCCCUGCCAUGGCACCCUCUCGCCCGCCCUUGCCAGACCCUGCCAUGUCCCUGAAAUGCCGCUUUGGCAGAGUGCAAGGGACACAUGAUUGCCACUGUGCUGGGUCCCCCUCAGUGGCUGCCAAAGGGGGCAGGGGUGAAGGGGGGACGUCUGUGCUGGAGCACCAACGGUGCUGUUGUCACCUGCACACCUGAGCACUCGCUGGGGGCGAGUGGCAUGGACAGGCACAGGUGUGGGACAGAAGGGCUGAUGGCACUGUGCACGCUGUCCCUGCAGCCUCUCCACCAGCUGAGAAGGCAUUUAUAAUUCUGCUUAGUUUUUUUGUGAUUCUAGACUGCUUAAGUUCUCCAACUUCUAAUGUUUCUGUAAGUUCUUCCUCCCUCAUCAGCGCAGCCUUGAACAUCUAACACCACGAGCUACAGAGAGAGAGACAAAGACUCCAAGCAGAUUUAACUCUUUCUUAGCAACAUGAAGCUUCCAGAGCUUAGCCCUUCUCUACGAGAGUAAGAAAAGACAGAGUGAACAUAAAGAACAACAGCAUAAAGUCAGUAAAGCAAGAGGGAAAAAACUAUUAGGAGAGAAGGUUAAAGAGUUAGUUGUUCUAUUCUUACUUGAGCCAUAGAAAUGAACUCUAUAUUUAGAUAAUUCUUUUAAAUUCCUUUCCUCUAGGACAGAUAUGCAUUUAAGGGGAUGAUUGUUUUAAUUUAUGCGUGAAUUUAAGCAAAAGUGUUUGUGAUGAACUAAGUAAUAUCCUAUAAGAUGCUUUAACAGAGAUAAAGAUGAGAAGCCCCCUGGGCCAGUGAAGAAGUAAGAAGGUAUCUCUGUACCUUGAGGUGAAGAAUCCUUUGCUUUGGAGUUAUUCAUCUUUAAAAAGUGACACCCCAGUAUGCAAAAAUCUUAGACCCAUGACCCCUAAGCAGCUUGAGAAACUGCUCCUGGGAGGGUCACAAAAGCAGGUUUCUCUGAGCAGUUGUUUUUGUGACAGUUUAAAACCCACAAGAAAACUUUUCUAAGUUGUCAGUGGGAUCCAUGACUCUAAAAGAUACUCUUCCCCUAAUGAAUUGAUGAAAGACUAUUGUCAGAUAGUGAAACUGACUAAAAAUUACAAGUUUUGUCUCUUUAUGUUAUUUUGUAAGAAAGUGAAGAGUUUGUAAGGGAAGAGUGUUUUUGAAGUUUCAUUCCAUUUUAGGUUUUUUUUUCCAACUUUCUUUUUUUCUAUUCUUUUAGUGUAUGUUAAUAAAACGAUUUGUUAAUUUUAAAGUUAAGCUUGUUUUGUUUCUAGUCUCUCUCCCACAGAAAGAGUAAGUACCAAGACCAAAAUUUAGUGAACGUGAAACCACUACAUAAAUUAGUGUUUCCGCCCAGUUUAAAAUUAAAACUAUGACAUUGGGAUACCCUGGAUCAGUGUCAGCUGUACAAUGGUGUUACCAUCUCUUCAAAGUGGUCAUUGGAAUCUUUAUCUCCAGUCCUCAAACCUCUCUAAUUAGCUGUACAAAUGUUGAAGACUUGACAAAGGGGAAGGUAACCACUCAUUAGGCCUUUCUUCAUUUUAAUGAGCCCUGUAGUGUAUUUGAUGUUUUGAGUCCAUGGUUCUCAGAUCCUGAGAGGAGGUAGCAGCAUUCCCUCAAGAAAUCCAAGUCAGAAGAAAACCCCAAAGUGUCCUGGAAGAAGUUCCAGAUACAGUUACAGAGCUCUGCCCAGGACAGGGAAAGUUAAUUAGAAAAAAAAAACCAGGAGAAAAAGACAACUCCACCCCCAGCAGAGCUGCUCCCACCCUCAGUAGUUUCACCUGCACACAUACAGCACCUGAGACUGCAAGCAGUGACCAUUCCUCGGGCACAUGUGCAGCAAAAACAGCUUGUGGAGUGCCUUGCAGCAGGACUCUUCUCAUCCAAGUGAAAAAGCUGCCUGCUUGGCAGGCAGCUGUAGGGCUCUUGGAAAGGACAAGGACCAAAGCCUCAGCCCACAGGGAAGAAGAGGGCUCUGAAUUGCCUGCCCCUGGCACGUAAACCCUCCUUCCAGACUGCUUCCCACACAGGAUUGUUCUGAAGGACUCCAGAAAGCUGAGAGUCAGCUCUGGCUUCUCCACGUUCCAUGUCGUAAAGCUUCCUGGGAGAAGAAAUUUAGGCUCAGCUCCUGUGGCACAAUGCCACCUGGCCCAGGCCACAGCUGAGACAUUAAAUUUGAAGAAAUAGGGAAUUUAGGAAAGUUAAGAUUAUAGUUCCUGAAAUAGCUAAAGUAGGUGGAUAAGCUUUCCUAAGUUAACAGAAGCCAGAUCUUAGUUAAGCUAUCCCACAUUUAGUAACUAAUUCCUUGUCAGCUUUAUGUAGCUGUGCUUGUAAGAAAAAACCAAAAUGCGGUAAAUAAGAUAUAACUGCAGACUUCCUGCUUAAAGAACCCAUUCAACACAGGAAACUCUAAGUUCUACCAAGGAUUCAUUUAUGAUGAAUGCAUUGAAAAGGUAGAAAGGUCAGGAUGAGGAAGACUCAUUUUACUUCCUCAUUUUUGGUGACCGCUUCCCAGAAUAGAACCCUGACUCAUUUUAGGAAACAAACUACGCGUGCUUAAUGGCUAUUUUUGCCAAUUAGGAUAUGAAGCGAGGAAUGGGAGGUAACAAGGGUAUGAAUAUGCAUUUGUAUUUUGGGUAUUCAACACUUCUGUAAAUAAAAGGCUUUGUAAUUACCUUUAAAUUUCACAGCUCGUAUUAGGGAGGUAUCCUGUGUGCUGCCCAGCCAUA